rnacentral:rRNA from 1 species
CAGCAGUAGCCACGGGAAUACGUAGGGUGCAAGCGUUAAUCGGAAUUACUGGGCGUAAAGCGUGCGCAGGCGGUUUGUUAAGACAGAUGUGAAAUCCCCGGGCUCAACCAGGGAACUGCAUUUGUGACUGGCAAGCUAGAGUGUGGCAGAGGGGGGUGGAAUUCCGCGUGUAGCAGUGAAAUGCGUAGAUAUGCGGAGGAACACCGAUGGCGAAGGCAGCCCCCUGGGCCAACACUGACGCUCAUGCACGAAAGCGUGGGGAGCAAACAGGAUUAGAUACCCCCGUAGUCCCUGUCUCUUAUAC